GACGAACGCUGGCGGCGUGCUUAAUACAUGCCAGUCGAACGGACAGGCCCUGCUCUUGUGGGUUUCUCGAGUGGCGCACGGGUGUGUAUAACGCGUGUACCACGUCCUUGCCUUUGGGAUAACUUCCGGAAAAUGGGGCUCAUACCGGGUAUGACACCCUGCUCCACGGGGGGGGUUGGAGAGAUUCGGCGGUUGGGGCUGGACUCGCGGCUUAUCAGCUGGCUGGUGGGGGUGUGGCUUAUCACGGCUUUGACGGGUAGCCAGCCUGAGAGGGUGACAGGCCACAUUGGGACUGAGAUAGGGGCCAGAGGGCUACGGGAGGCAGCAGUGGGGAAUAUUGCACAAGGGGCGGAAGCCGGAUGCAGCAACGCCGCGUGCGGGAUGACGGCCGUCGGGGUGGAAGCCGCUUUCGCCGGUGACGAAGCGUGAGUGACGGUAAUGGGUAAAGAAGCACCGGCUAACUACGUG
rnacentral:rRNA from 1 species